UAACUUGUUCUAGUGCCUGUAUAUGGUC
rnacentral:sRNA from 1 species